GACGAACGCUGGCGGCGUGCCUAAUACAUGCAAGUGGAACGCAUUGGUAACACCGGACUUGCUCCAGUGUUACUAAUGAGUCGCGAACGGGUGAGUAACGCGUAGGUAACCUGCCUGAUAGCGGGGGAUAACUAUUGGAAACGAUAGCUAAUACCGCAUAAGAGGAGUUAACUCAUGUUAACUGUUUAAAAGAAGCAAUGGCUUCACUAUCAGAUGGACCUGCGUUGUAUUAGCUAGUAGGUAGGGCAACGGCCUACCUAGGCAACGAUACAUAGCCGACCUGAGAGGGUGAACGGCCACACUGGGACUGAGACACGGCCCAGACUCCUACGGGAGGCAGCAGUAGGGAAUCUUCGGCAAUGGACGCAAGUCUGACCGAGCAAC
rnacentral:rRNA from 1 species